AGGCUUCACACUGCCAGCACAGAGAGCCUGAUGUGGGGCUCGGACUCACGAACUGUGAAUUCAUGACCUGAGCCGAAAUCUCGAGUCGGACUCUUGACAAACUUAGCCACCCAGGCGCCCCUUUGCCGACUUCUUAAUGGUGAAAAGUCACGGCCCUUCUCCCACAGGAUUUGUGGCCAAUCAGGGGGAAGAAUUUAAACACCUGUAGAGUAUUCCUGAAUCAUAAAUCAAGGGGAAGAUAGGUCACUGGGGGUUUGGGCAGUUGGAGAAUUCAGCUUAGGAAAAUCUGUUCCGAAGUGGCAUUGAGACGGGGGUGACGGAGCUUUGCUUCCCAAUUGGAGGAGUCCGAGCAGAAGGCAGAAGAGUGAGGGGCCGUGAGGAGGCUCCUCUAGCUGGGAGAGUAUGAAAGCAGCCGACCUCUGCUCCCACGCCUGGCCGAAUGGGGGGUAAUUACUAGGUGCUGCUUCCCCAGCCUCUUUCAUCUGAGAAGUUCAAAGCACCGUACCCCUAUUAACACCCUGCAGUAGGUGGGGAGGAUCAACAGCAAGCCAGGGAAACUGAGGCCAGGAGGCGCAGCCUGGGGAUGCCUGUGAGUCACUUGUGUGGCCCGGAGCCCAGGAAUCCUGACGCCCAGGUUGCUGGACAAAUCCCUCAUCAGGUAGGGUGUGAGGGUGGAUCCUGUUUUGGAGCAUAGGACCAGUAGCUGUGGCCAGGGGGUCUGCUGCUUGUCCCAUCACCCUGGCUCUUACCAAAGCAAACCAGCUGGAAGGAAGGUGCCAUUUGAACUUCAUGGCCUUGCAUCCAAGCACUCUGAGCAUUUAUCCUCUGCAGUCACGGAGUGGAGAAAGGUGGAAGUCAUCCCACAGUUAAUUUUCAGGCCUUGGUGUGACAGCAAGGGUAUUUCCUCCUCCAGGAAAUGUAGCUCUGUUCACCUACUGAUGGCAAAAUGAUUUUCUGUUCCCCUGCCAUGGUGGGGAGGAGUUGGAAAAUGAAAAGAAAAUAAGUCACCCAUGAUCCCAUAACAUAUAAAUAAUAAAAAAUCUUUGUAAUCUGCAAUAAGUUUUAUAUUCAAAUGUAUAAAUAUAUUUUGUGUUUCUCAGUCUUUUCUAUACAUGGAGAGGGGUAGCUGGAGCAUUUGUACGAGUGGAAUAUGUUAUACUUGCUCUGUAACCUGCGUUUUCUAGUCAACACUUAUUUCAUCCAGUUAAAAAUAGAGAGACCUUUUUAAUGUCUACAUAAUAUUCCAUGGUAAGGCUAUGACAUUGUUUACCUGUCCAGACUCCCACGGUUAGCCUAAGUCAUUACCAAUUGUUUGCUGUUGUAAAUUGUGCCGCGAUUAUACUUUCGUACUCAAAUCUUUGUCUGAGCCUCUGAUUUUUAACUUCUGGAGAGAUCCUAGAGAUGAAACAGCUGAUAUUUCCCAGGUUCUGGGUUCAUAUUGCCAAAAUGCCUUCCAGAAAAGUGGCACUUUGCCUCUCACAGACACUGUCUGAAAGUGCUCUUCUCACUUCCAGACCUCACUUGGCAAUCAUGAACAACUCCUGGAGGGAGGAAACCAUCUCUGAGUGCCUUAGAAGGGACCUUCCCGGUCUUCUCUGCUAACCACUGACAUUAGGAUAUAUGCAUUUCCUGGCUUUGAAGUGAGGACUCCCCCCGCCCCGCCCCCAAAAUUGGAAGAUACUGUUUGGGACUUAGCAGAGGCCACAGCUAAUUGGAAAGGCUUCCAGCCCAGAUAAAGAGGCUUAGGAGUGAACGUGAUGCCCUAAAACCCACAGAGCUGAAGCACAGCCAGUCUGCUCUCAGCUGUUUCUGAAUUAGCAAGAUGCUCACCCACAGUUGGCUGAGAAUAGGAAGCCUGAUCCCAUUAGAGUCUGUGGGAAGUUCUGUCUUAAGAGAUUCUCUCUCCUUUCCCAGGGCUCCUGAGAGGGGAGGGGAGUGAUGGCAGACCCAUCCCAGCCCGAGGAAGAAGGAAGAGUCCCAGAUUAGUGCACACUUUGAUGAAAUCAGGCCUGCUGCGGGGAGGGGAAAGCCCUACACCUUAUUUCCAACCCCUCGUGUCAACUCCUCGUGUCCUUCAUUUCCAGCCAAGGAGCCAACUUCAGACAGCCCCAGAUGUCCAGGUGGCCUAAGACUGAGGAGCUAUGAGGGGAUGGGCUGGGGAUUUGGAACCCAGACGAGGUGAGAAAAUAUGAAUAUUGGUAAAAAUGCUCCAGACUAGACAUCGCAAAGUUUUAAUUUUUUUUCCCCAUCCAAAACCUUGAAGCAGUUGAGGGAAAUGAGAGGCUCCUUCAAAGCCAUCCCCAUCGCAGGAAUCUACAGCCUCCUUGCUGCAAGAAUCUGAAAUCAAGUUUUUCUCAACUGGACAUUUAGACAUUGGAGGGUGUGUGUGUGUGUGUGUGUGUGUGUGUGUGCGCGUGCGCGCGCGCGCGAGCGUGCGCAUGCAUGUGUGUGAAUAUCUGCUUGCUCUGCAAAUACGGCGUCAAGAAGUGUUCCUAGUGCCCCCCUUCCCACUGAUCACCACCUCUUCCUGGACAUUAAUCCUGAAGCCUUCACAGUCCUCGUGGAAUGAAAAAACAGCAAAGGAGGAACAUUGGAACGUGGGGCAACCAUGAGUGGUACAGAGGGGAGAGGCAAAAGUCAGAGGCUGAGAGAAAAGAAGAAAGAAGUACCUUUCCCAGGACCUACCCCAUUAAGAGAAAGUCACCAGACCUGCCUGGUCUGAGAUCUGGAGCCUCCCGCCCUGCGGCCGGGGCCGAGCAGCCUCAGAGCCGCCUUUGCGCUGGCCUGACCCUCCCAGGACCAGACCGGUUUGUUGGGGGCCACCGUGAU